rnacentral:lncRNA from 1 species
AAAAGAAAAAAAAUGCAAAAAAAAUGUGAUAUUGAUUGCAAGAGAAUGUAAGCAAUCAAGGAAGGAAGCUGGUGGGAGCAGACAACAAGCUCUCAUAUCUCCUAGUCUAGAAGGACUUCCGGAGAUUAGAGCAUAAGAUCGCCUUCACAGUUUCCUGAUGUAGCGGAAACGUGAUCAGGGAUAGUCUUGCUUCCUGAAUGGAUGAUCA